rnacentral:rRNA from 1 species
AUGUGUCACAAGGUGCGCAAGCCUGAUGCAGCAACGCCGCGCGAGUGUGGACGGCCUUCCGGUUGUAAACUCCUUCUAGCUGGGAAGAAGCGAAAGAUACGGUACCUCCAUAAAAAUCACCGGCUAGCUACGUGCCAGCAGCCCCGGUAAUACGUAGGGUGCAAGAGUUGUCCCGAAUUAUUGGGCGGAAAGAGCUCGUAGGCGGCUUGUCCCGUCUGCUGUGAAAUCCCGGAGCUCAACUCCGGGCCUGCAGUGGGUACGGGCAGGCUAGAGUGCGGUAGGGGAGAUUGGAAUUCCUGGUGUAGCGGUGGAAUGCGCAGAUAUCAGGAGGAACACCGAUGGCGAAGGCAGAUCUCUGGGCCGCUACUGACGCUGAGGAGCGAAAGCAUGGGGAGCGAA